ensembl:lncRNA
GGGGAAUGGAGGACAGUACUACUCCAGUGAUAUGAUAGAGGAGAUGGUGGAAUGGAGGACAGUACUAAACCAGUGAUAUGAUAGAGGUGAUGGUGGAAUGGAGGACAGUAUUAUACCAGUGAUAUGAUAGAAGAGAUGGUGGAAUGGAGGACAGUACUAUACCAGUGAUAUGAUAGAGGUGAUGGUGGAAUGGAGGACAGUACUACUCCAGUGAUAUGAUAGAGGUGAUGGUGGAAUGGAGGACAGUACUACUCCAGUGAUAUGAUAGAGGAGAUGGUAGAAUGGAGGACAGUACUACUCCAGUGAUAUGAUAGAGGGAUGGUGGAGGAGAAUGGAGGACAGUACUAAACCAGUGAUAUGAUAGAGGAGAUGGUAGAAUGGAGGACAGUACUAAAAUAGUGAG